GGACAAGCCUCUCCUGUCUGCCCUGGACUUUGAAAAGCAGAGUUCCACAGGAGAUCUUUCCAGCAUCUCGGGAUCAGAAGACUCAGACUCAGCCAGUGAGGAGGACUUGCAGACACUGGAUCGGGAGAGGGCUACAUUUGAGAAGUUGAGCCGACCCCCAGGCUUUUACCCUCAUCGAGUUCUUUUCCAGAAUGCCCAGGGCCAGUUUCUUUAUGCCUACCGCUGUGUCCUAGGCCCUCAUCAGGAUCCCCCAGAAGAGGCAGAACUGCUGCUACAGAACCUGCAAAGUAGAGGUCCCAGAGACUGCGUGGUGCUCAUGGCUGCAGCUGGGCACUUUGCUGGUGCUAUAUUUCAAGGAAGAGAAGUGGUGACACACAAAACUUUUCACCGCUAUACGGUUCGGGCCAAGCGGGGCACAGCCCAGGGGCUUCGGGAUGCCCGAGGUGGGCCAUCACGCUCUGCUGGAGCCAACCUGAGGCGCUACAAUGAAGCCACACUAUAUAAGGUGAGUUAAGC
rnacentral:sRNA from 1 species